CAAAUUGGUAUAAAACUGUAGGAGCUUACAAAGCAACGCAACUGACGCAACCGAGCAAGGUGCCUUAGUACCAAAUAACAAAUUACUGUUCAAAUAAUGAAAAAGAUAGUCGGCGACAGAAAGCCGAUUAAUAGGCUGUCGGUCGGUAAACGUCGGCGACAAAAAGUCGAUUAAUAGGCUAUCGGUCGGUAAGCGUCGGCGACAAACAACCGAUUAAUCGGCUAUCGGUCGGUAAAGCGUUGAUCAUUGGCAAGCGUAUGCGUGGAAAACAUUCAACUGAAAAUUAAAACCUCAACUGCGAGCCAUAACGCGGCUGAAAUUUCUAGCCCGAUCAAUAAAUCUGGCCGAAUGACUGCGCAGAAAUUCGCGUUUUCGCAAGAAGAUGCGAAGCAGACUUAACAAAACUGAAAUAAUCAACACGCUUUGCUCGUUGCUCGAGCUUUCGGCAAGCCUCUGACCGGCUAAAUAAUCGAAAUGUGAAACGUGAAAUAACUAUAUCGAAGCUGACGUACAAAUUUGAAUAUCUUUAUUCAUUGAUAUCUUCGCGCUGACAAUUAAAAGGUCGCAUACAGUUAACGUGGAUCGGAAUAUCGAUACAAACGCACCGGUUCCAAAUCAUCAGAAAUUGUAAACACACUUACGUACUUGCACGUGUAUCUGUGUCGAUAUCCCGAGCCCGGUGAUUACCUAUAUUAAAUAUCUAUCGUUAAUUCUUCGAAACCAGCUGCCCAUCGUUCAGACAGCUGUUUCUCUAAGUCUUGUUUUUACGUUUACAUUCGAGAAAAGGAGCUUGAUCUUGUCAAAGUUUGAAACGAAAGUACAAGUACUUAACAUCGUUACGUAGACGAUUAAUCGACAAAUUUGCUGACAGAUUAUUCGUUCUUUUAACUAGUUGUUGGAUGAUGCUUUAUGGAUGCAACAAAUUUUGUAACACAUAUUCUUACGCAAAGAAAUCAUCAUAAGAAUUUCUUUUUUUUUUUCUAUUUUCUUAAAGUACCUUCUUACUUCCGUUGAGAAUGGGUCGAUUAUGGUAGUUACAGUAAUUUUUCUGAUUUAACCUCAUUUUACGUUUUAUAUCCAGACGCCUGUAAAACGAUUUCGUCGACACGCAAAAUUUCUUCGAAAUUGAUCGAAAUUGUCAAGUGUCUCUGCAGUUGAAUCCUCCAUGUGUUCGAUAUAUUUCGUUCGAAAUAUAUUAAUUUGAAAUAUUGUUUCACAUUAACUCUGCACUAACACUAAUUCUUUAAAAAUUGUUAAAAAAUUGUUUACAAAUUGCCACUCUGCAAAGAACGUCGAUACAAUAAGAAAAAGAAGAAGAAUAUGGGGCAAUGUGGAACUGCCGUUUAUUUUGCAUCGCUGUGCUUCCUGAAAUGCUGAAAGCAGACAGACGUUUGCACGACACCAAUAAGUUACAGUGAGUUGAUGGCGCCCCCAUGCGUUCACCGACCAUUUUUCUGUUUCUAACGAUCCUGAUCUUAUCUUGUACCAUCGUUUGAACAUCAACAGGUAAGUGACUGUUCUCGAUCGAAUGUCUGGAAUAUUAUCAAGUGAGCAAUUGCUUGAGCUAUUUAAACUAUGAACGUUGUUCGUAAGCGAAUUAAGACAUCGAGAUAAUUUUUUACAUAAAAUUUCUGUACUUCUGUAAUUAUGAUAUACGUCCAAAAGAAGGACAGAGCGACAAAGUGGAAACAAUUGUACAAAAGAAAUAGCUGCUAUGGUAAAGCAGCUGCAGCCUUUGAUGUUGUCAAAACCACAUUGCACAGAACCCUGGGUCUAUCUCGAGAAUAUUCUCAACCAAUAGAAGCCUUCCAAACUGUGUUUUCGCGGAAGUAUUAGUAUUUCGUUUAAAAGAAAUGGAGAGCCUAUUAUUUGGUCUAACAACAAUGAACACACCCAAAUAUUAGAUUGUUCCAAAAGCUUCUUUCGUUUAAUAAGGAAAUACUAGAUGCACACCAUUCUUUGUUUUAUAUUAUUUUAUUGAAUUAUAAGUAAUCUGUUCUAUUGGGACAAAAUAAUUCGAUAAAAGAAUAUUAUAAAACGAAAAAUGUUGCACAUUUAUUUCCUUGGAAAAAGAAGGAAACCUUUGGAACAACAGGUGCGUCUCUUACAAGACACUGACACUGUCUUUAAAAUUAUUUUUUCUUUUUUUUUUUUUUACACUUUCCGUGUCAAGUUUCGAAAGUUUAUUUCAUGAUAUUUCCAUAAACAGAUAUUGAUAGUAUGUGUAUAUUUUUUACAGAUCAAUUAAUAAGAUCAAAAUAUCAAGAAAUAAAUUUUGAGGCAAUUUUUUCCUAGCGUUCCCGUGUCUCCCCAAUCCUCCGUUUUGCGUAAUUGUGCAGGACACAAUUGGAAACACAAGAAUAGAAUUAUGCGACGAUAGCAAUGAAAAUACUAUUACAAAAGCUAGAUUUGUCCAUGGAGGAUUGAACAGUAUUCUUAAAUGAUAUCGAUCUUGAUUAAAGUGCCAAAAAAAAACUUUUGGCUAUAUUGCUCCUUAAACGUGAUUUUCAUUCCAUGAAAUAUGACUUGAAACGUUUUCCUAACAUUUCGAAUGUGUAGCGUUGUGAGAUUUGAAAUGCACACGGUAAAUUAGGAAAAUAUUGAUCGUGUAAGAAAGAAUCAUCCAACAAAUAUUCACAUAUUUUAUUAGAAAAAACGACUUACGGAGUAAUUAUUGAUAGAUUAGUGAUAUAAUCAAUCGUUAACCAAAAAUAUCUACACUCGUCUGGCUUUCAGAAAUAAAUGUAAGCAUAUAAAAAUCGUCGUAAAGUCGAAUUUAAAAAAAAAAUACGGUCGUUUACGUUCGCGAUUGUCAACUUAAAGAAUAAUAUCGAAGAAUUAAAUAAGAUAGGAACUCAAAAUAACGCAGAAACAUUUGAGUGUUUCGUUAGAGCGCGUUUAACAGAAUUUUAUACAGAAAAUUCGCGGACAUGUGAAACUUGUUCCGAAUAAACGACGUUCGAUCGGACAAUCAUUUAAUCAAACACUUUAUUAAGUAUCGCGGUAAGAAUUUUUCUCGGUUAAUCAAUUAACCAAAGAAACGAUCAAUUAGUUAGCUAAGCGAUUUCAUGGAGAAUCGAGAAAGGAACUUUGUCAAUCGAUUUUUUAAACAAUUUGCAGUUAAAUUCGUUUGAACUUAAUUCACAUCCGUUACCUUCAACAAUAAAUAAUUAAUUCGUAUACAAAGAAGGAUUGACGUUUAAUACGUUUCCAUUUCUAUUCUGACAAACUCAUAGAAGCUUAAUUAUUUAUUGUUUACAAUUAUGUGGAAUACAAAACGUUUUACUCGUCGACACUUCGCAGUUUCGAACAUAAUGUUUUCUAUAAAUUACGUUCGCAAAAUAACGUAGAAAAAUACACGCAGCUUCUGCGUCUCGCAGCGAUAAACAAAACGUUACAUCGAACUGCAAAACAUCCAUACAGUUGUUGCUCUCUGUUCUUAUCUCGUAGUUCAAUCUGUACAGAUAAUUGCUCGUCUUAAUUCUUCAAUUAUUCAGCAAUUACUUAGUAAAAUAUUGUACGACACAUUCUUCGAAUAUCCACCUUUCUGUUACGAUCGUAACAAAUCGUAAAGAUUCAGAGUGUUUGUGCUACAAGUAAAUGGGCAAUGAUCAACUCUCAAAGAGACAACACUAGAAAUGCAAUGAAAAAUGCACUUAUUAGUACUUUAAUAAGCUAAUACUUAUCUCCUAUUUAUCACGUAUCCGUUUACGAAGUUAGACAGAAAGUAAUAAAAUAAUACUACGAUGAAAGCUACAAUGUCAUACUUUAAAAUAAAUUACACAGUUUCAAGCAAAUUAAUUGAUUUAGGACAUCCACAAUGGUUUUCUGAAUUCAUCGUAGUUGAUCUCUUAGAAUUAUCGAUGAUUUUAUAUACUGUUUACGUUUCGUUCACUGGGUAUUCUGAAACCUAGUAUUUCAGGUUAUGUGCACAUUCUUUAUGGACCAAUCGGUGCCUCUGACCGGCCAAUGAGAACCGUCUUCUGGUCACCCGGUCCCGACUGGACCAAUGAGAACGGCCUUCCAAUGAUUGGCUAAUCAGAGACACCGCUUUCACCAUAGCAAGUACAAAACAUAACCUAAAGCGGUGAGUUUCAGGGUAAACCUAGAGAAGUUCUUAAAUGUCGGCUCACAAAGUAAUAUACAAUGUAAGUCAGUUGACAUGACAGUCAUGAGUCAUGUGACAACUAAGACAAAGGUCGUAGUAGACCAAAGAAUACAGUACACCAAAAUAAGAAGGAAUUUCGAAUUGCAGCUUAAUUUGCAACGCUAGGCAUUGCUUAGAUCGACAAUUUCCUGGCGAAUGGUCGUGCUGGUCUUAUUUCCUGACCAGCUCGCUUUCCGGAUCUGAAUCCAUUCGAUUAUUAAUUCUGAGACGUUAGAAAUCUUUUGUUCAUAAAACUUCAAUCGACAGUGCUGAAAUUCUUCGUCAGCGUGACGACCAAAGUUGCCGACAAAUCCGCGUAAACAUUUCGACGAUAUAUGACGCGAUGCAUUCAUGCUUCUAUGUGAGCUGUAUCUCUGAUCACUUGGAGCAAUUGGUCUGAACAUAGGUAAGCGACCAUUACAAUAUAAAAGAAGCUGUCACUCGAAAACGAGAUCAUAUCAGGUAUAUACGUUCACGCGGACUUUUCUUCUUAUUUUAGUGUGCUGAAGCAGUCGCUGCUGCAUUAAUACACCCUGUGAACAGCUACAUACAUAUGUAUGUGGCCAAUGUUCUCAGUAUGCCUAGCAAUGUGAUCUUUGAUCUUACGAAGUCUACCGGCGCUCGCUGUAUAACAUACAACUGCUGCAUAUGUAACAUAAUUGUAUAACGUGUUACACAGAAGUGUUGUGUAACGCGUCUUUUUUUAAGGCGUUAUACAACUUUGCUGUACAAAAGUCCAAUAGCACGCAAGCAUGAGCUGAUUCUCUAUGAAAAAGUAAGAAGAAAACGUGGAUAAAAAUACAUAGAACGGUGGCUAAAGCGGAAUAUCCUCAAUAGGAAGGAAAAGGAGGUAGCCAAUUGCAAGUGGAAAAUGCAGAAAAGGAAAGAAAUCGUUUGGUAGAGGAAAAAGGAAAAGGUGUUCUACGUAAUUUAAAAAUAGCCGCUUUAAAACACUCAUUAAAAGAUUGCUAGUAGAAACUACUGUUACUCCAAAACAAAAUCAUAUCGAGCAUAUAUUUACAUAAACUUUUCUUCUUAUUUUAGCGUGCUAAAUCAGCUUCUGCCGCGAUUCACACAUGUUCUGACUCAUCCUGCGUAACACGAUUGAUAAACAACUACGAUGAAUUCAAAGCAAGCUACACGUUUAGAUAAAAAAUUAUUCGUUUACAAGCACAUACAUGUUCCUUUUUUGAAAUUAAAAUUAACCGUACAUACAAGGAAUAGUUGAUUUCGGCAGAUACACCGCAAUUAUCUGUCUAGACAGACUCCUAAGUACAAAAUUGUAUUUUCAUUUGUCAUUCACAUUAGUAUAGCGAAGAAAGGAAAGGAAUCGAUUAUUCAGUCGUUCAUGUGAAUAGUUAUGAAUCAUUCUUAUUUUUAUAUACCUACGCUAUGUCACUCGGGACAGUUUAUAAUAAUAGAUUCUAAUAAAUAAAUUUCCUUAGAUUAAAGCGUGAAAAAUUUCUACAUCAGAAGCGAGAAAAUCCGAAGAAAAUCCACUCGGAGUGUAUUUCCUCUAUGUACAUGCAAUGUUUUGUUCUGAAUGAGAAAAUACAUAAAAAAUUUCAAUUCCAAUUCCUUCAUUUCUCUUCACUUCAUAUUGUUCACUCCUUGUAGAAAUUUUAGAAAUAACCUCAAUACAAAUACGAGCGCGUAAUUUACGGAAUUCUUUAAUUUCUUUAAUUAUUCGAACGAAUUCGUUUCAUAGAUUUCUUGCAAAAAAAAAAAAGGUCAAUUUCGCAUUUUUGAAAAAUAUUUCUAUCUGGAAUGUCACAUUGCCGUUAAAAUGAUUUUUGUGCCCGAUAAUUUCCCAUUUGAAUCUCCACAGAAAUUGAACGUGAUAAUUCCCGUGUUUAUUGAACAAGACUUUUCCUUUUAUUUUCGUUUUGCAAAAAAUCUAUAAACCCGUUUGUUAUUCGUGUUUCUCGUAAAAAUUCUACAAUCUAAUUUUUAUGACUUUUCGGUAAAAACUUUUGCAUCUAAUGUUUGCAAUUUUUUGCAAAAAUCUGGGAUUACAAUAUUUGCAACGACUCCUGCAAAAUUGUCAAAGGCUUAAAAUUUAAUAUUCAGCGUUCCCCUCUGAAUACGUAGUUGCAAAAAAAUUGCAAUUCUAACUUUCUUCAGUUUCUUUGCGAAUGUUCUAAAAUCUAAAUGUUCUUAAUCUUCCUGCAAGACACUUCUCCCUAGUUCUCCCUCUAAAGUCAUACAUUUUUGCAGAAACCUGACAAACAUUUGAACGUAGUAGUCUUCAUUAAUUUCUUUAUUAUUAAGAAUAAAGAAUAUUAUUAAUAGUAAUAAUAGUAUUAUUAAUUUCUUUAUCAGUAGCAUCCUCUAUUUUCCGGAGAAACAUACUUCCUUUUUCAAAAAUUCCCUAAACUACCAAAAAUCCCAGUUUUUCCCUCGCCUCUCGUUAUAUUCAUCGCGUGACUUUAGUAAAAAUUAGUAGCCCCAAUUGCUUCUCCUUUCGAUACUCAAAAAUCUCCACAUACCAUGUGCUCGAAUGUUUUUCCAAAAAGAACUCUGAACAAUAACAAUGUUCUGCUUCAAUGUUUACAUUAAAAAUCGCUGAAAAAAGUUGCGAGGAGAUUUAAUGUUUUGCAAAGAAGCGCAACAAUGUACGCUUUCUGCAAAAGCAAUUUCCGAUAAUAUUUGUCAGAAUGUUUCUCGUGAAAAUGUCUGCAAUUAGGAUUUUUCGCUUUCACACGAAACUUGUCUCACUUUUUGUUGAAAGAAAGUGAAAAGGACUUCACCCAAGUAGAUUUGCAAAAAACGUUGCAUCAUGUGAUUUGUAUUACUUUGGAUUCUCGUUCGGCGACUUAAUUUUCACUGAAAUUAGCAACCGGCCUCUUAUCCAACGCAUAAAGCAAUAAUAUACAGCUCGGCUAUUAGCCAGGUAAUUUUUACUUUACUUUUAGAUAAAUAUCAAUAGAUAGGUAUCUUAUUUAAUAGUGCUUUAUCUCAUAUUAAAAUGGUUCAUAUCAACUUGUUUUUUUUUUCUUUUUAGAAGUUAUAUUCAAAUGAAAUAUAUAUUUGAAUAAACGAAAACCAUAGCAAGACUGAUAAUUCAAGAGAAAUAUUUACACGUCUAAUUUAAAGCUAAUUAUGAUAUUCCUUCAAAUCGUACUAAACUGUAAGUACGAUUUACGACGAUAAAGAAUGAAAUUAGAAAUUUCAUUAAGAUGAAAAUAUUUCAGUAGAUUGUAUUUGUAAUUGAAAUCCAUUGUAUAAUCAAGGAAGAGAGAGAAAGAAAGAGAGAGAGAGAGAGAGGGAGGGAGAGAGGGAGAUGUUUCCCAUAAUUGAAAGACCUGAAUUUUAAAUUAAAACUCGAAAUGUAAUUACACAUCUUUCACGAAAAAAUUACUCCAUUAUAUUUAUUGGGUUUUUACCCAUUCCACAUAAUUAAUAACUAAAGUGAAUCAUUAACAAAUGACGAGAAAUAUAAAUCGUGAUUUAAAUUACAAAUCUUCUUGAUUAAUUUAAUUGAAGAUUCUUUUCGCAGAAAGUAACCUAAUUUCCAAUAGUAGCAAUUAAUAAUAGUCAUUUUCAAUGCUCUAUGUUCGUAUUCUGUCUCUCAUUAGGAAAUCGCGAACCUAAUCGGCAAAUGCAAUCUAUAUUUUCGUAAUUCGAUCAUAUUUAUCAUCCUAACUUCGCUAAAUAUAAAAACUAAUUGGAACGAGAGGAGUAAUUAAGACUAAGAAAAAAAAACAAAGAAAAAAGAAAUCACAUUUCCAAUCGAACGUUUAACAAACACAGGACUCACAGCAUUAUUCGAUCUAUUAAUUGUUUUCGUACAAUUCGCGUAACACGUUUAAUUAAAAGUAGCUAUAAAAAUCACAUUAUCGAUAAUUUCACGUAAAAAUUAAAGAAGAAAAAAAACACAUAAUUAUAGAAAAUUGCACGAAAGUUGCAUAUAUCCCUAUGCUUUCACUUUAAUACUGAUGCACUAACUACACUUACGCUCGAAAGAUUGCACUAUCGACUACCUCACCUUUACAGUUAUAAAAAUCACUAUUAAAAAAUAUAGUGAAAUACUGGUCGUUUGAGUACGCUAUCGAGUAGAAAAUUCCUUACGUUAGAUACAAGAGUGAUAGACGUACAUAUUUUAAAGAAGAAGAAGAAGAAGAGAUAGGAAAGAACGAAGAGAUAUAAGAUUAAUUUUUAAUACGUAAUAUUCGUAAUUAGUAAGUUGUACGGUCGCAAUUUCAGUGAACUAUACUUCUCUUACCUACGAAAUUCUUCAUACAGUAAUUCUCAUUCUCGUAUUGCAAAAUUUAUCUGUUCGUUUAGUAUAUCACCUAGUUUCACCUUUAGUUUCUCUUUCCCCUUGGUUCUACACUUUGUGUCAAAAAAAGAAAAUAAUAAUAAACGUGCGUUAUACAUUCAACGAAUCUACUAUAAGCCUGCUGCCUUUUUACAAUAAGCUUGGCUAUUUGGUCUUUCAAAUUUUUCAAAUUUUCCAGCAAACCAUCAGCAUUUGCAUCGAUCAGUUAACCAAUCCGAGAGCUCAUCAGACUGUUCUCGGAAUUGUCAGGUAAAGCUAUCCAAAAACGCUAUGUACAAAUUUGUAUUCUCAACCCUUUGCACUCCUGUGUCGAGUGUGACUCGACAUCAGCAGUUCCGUUGUCGAGUGUCAGUCGACAUUCUUUCAGUGCCACCUUUUUUUUUGUGAAACGUGCAAAAGAAAAGGAGGAUUACAUCCUGGAAAUUGUUUCAAGAUAUAUCAUACACUUAAAUACCAGUUUUGUUCACAUUAUUGUUGUAUUUUCUAAUUUUUAAGUGAACUUCUUUCUUCCUUUAUUUAUUUAAAUUGCCUUAGUUUUUAGUUAAAGUAAAUAAAACACUUAAAAGCGUUAGCAGAUGCUGCUAACGAAAUUGAAAUGAAAUUCUGAGUGCAAAGGGUUAAAGAUCAAGCACACUCGACUAUCGUCGUUUAAUCAGUUGCUUCUUAUCGAACACACGGUAGAACCUGCAGCACCCUAACAUCCAUGCAAAUAUUUUCAUCCAAAUGCAAAAAUUAUGCAAAUAUCCGUCCAAUAAUUUACCUACUGCGUGUUCAGUAACCAACGACAUCGUCAGUCCAAUUUGUCGAAUGUUCACGUACAAACAAAUCGUAAAGACUCGAGGAUGAUAUAAAUGAAAAAAGAAAAAAAAAUCAAAAGUAACUCGAAUGCUCUACUUUCAAAAGUAUUGUUUCAUGAAUUUAUAUAUAUAUGAGUAUACAGGAAAGUGAUAUGAAAUUGUAGACAGGAUGUAUAACAGUGAAGUAUUGUUCAUGGACUAAUACUUUUGAAAGUAGAGUAUACUUGAACAAUACAUGGAACAAUACUUUUGAAAGUAUAUAUAUAUAAGUAUACAGGAAAGUGAUACGAAAUUGUAGACAGGAUGUAUAAUAGUGAAGGUCAGAAGUAUUGUUCAUAGAACGAUACAUGGAACAAUACUUUUGAAAGUAUAUAUAUAAGUAUACAGGAAAGUGAUAUGAAAUUGUAGGCAGGAUGUAUAAUAGUGAAGGAUAGAACUAUUGUUCAUGGAACAAUACUUUUAACAGUAGAGUAUACUGGAACAAUACAUGGAACAAUACUUUUGAAAGUAUAUAUAUAAGUAUACAAGAAAGUGAUAUGAAAUUGUAGACAGGAUGUAUAAUAGUGAAGGUCAGAAGUAUUGUUUAUAGAACAAUACUUUUAAUAGUAGAGUAUACUGGAACAAUACAUGGAACAAUACUUUUGAAAGUAUAUAUAUAAGUAUACAGGAAAGUGAUAUGAAAUUGUAGACAGGAUGUAUAAUAGUGAAGGUCAGAAGUAUUGUUUAUAGAACAAUACUUUUAAUAGUAGAGUAUACUGGAACAAUACUAUUGAAAGUAUAUAUGUAAGUAUACAGGAAAGUGAUAUGAAAUUGUAGACAGGAUGUAUAAUAGUGAAGGUCAGAAGUAUUGUUUAUAGAACAAUACUUUUAAUAGUAGGGUAUACUGGAACAAUACAUGGAACAAUGCUUUUGAAAGUAUAUAUAUAAAUAUACAGGAAAGUGAUAUGAAAUUGUAGACAGGAUGUAUAAUAGUGAAGGAUAGAACUAUCGUUCAUGGAACAAUACUUUUGAUAGUAGAGUAUACUGGAACAAUACUUUUGAAAGUAUAUAUAUAAGUAUACAGGAAAGUGAUAUGAAAUUGUUAUAUAUAUGUUAAAGUCAGAUUGGCAUUUUGGGGCGUUCUAUGAACCUUUACUUACUUUACCGUCGCGAAUGUAGCUAAUAUUUAUCAGUACGAAUGUGAGCACUACAAGAGGCUAUGAGUAAUGACGAUAGGAUGAUGGUGACAACGAAUUCAGGUUCGAUAACGAAUCCACGGUCCAUGGGAGGACAAGUAUCAACGUAAUACUCGAUUCGGGUAACUUCUCGAUAACUCAAUCAGCAAUUCGUCCAACGACUAACUGACAAACUAACUCUCCCUUAAUCCAAAAGAAACUGCCCUUAUAUACUCCUGUCCCCACUUCUCGGGUCAAUCUUUGUUUUUAAGGAGAGCCAUAUAAUCAUUUCGUACCUCUGUCAGGUACACGUCCUUCCCGUGACCGUGGCUACGUUCAGUGACCCGCUAUGUCACUUCAAGCCCGAACCCAUCGUCAUAAAGUCAGAUUGGAACAUUAAAACUAUUCCUUAUUUUUAUUACUUAAGUGCAGCUAUAGUAAAAGUCUGGACUAGAGUAUUGGGGUUUUUCCCAACAUUCCGCACGGGAAAUCCCGCUGUCCUUCCAUCUCCGACAUAUAUAUUAUAUAAUAUAUGUAAUAUAUAUAAUAUAUAUUAUAUAAUAUAUGUAAUAUAUAUUAUAUAUAUUACAUAUAUUAUAUAAUAUGUAUUUUUAUUAUAUAUAAUAUAUAAUAUAUAUAUAACAAUUUCAUAUCACUUUCAUGUAUAUAUAUAAUGUGUUUAAAUAAUAAAAUAAAUAAUAACAAAAAAUGAAUAUCUUGUGUGUAGUAAGCAAAUUAGGCAGAGGGCAAACGCAUUGCACUGAGCGUUCAAGGGGAAAGAAAGCUGCUGAGAGAAGUCGGAAGAAGGUGUGGAAAUGUUGCAAAAAUCACGAACGUUUACAACGUUAAGAGACAUACAAUUAAUAUAAUAUAAAUUAACUGUAAUAUGAUUGAUAUAAUGAAAAGCAAAAACGUGCGUGUUUUGAGAAGUAGAAAAACUUCGAUGGACUUGAAAAAUAAAUAUCUAUGCUCUGUUGUAUAGUAAUACUAAUAAAUCAGCAACAAAGAGACGCUAAUAUGUAGCGUAUGAAGAUGUUUUGGAGUUUGGAUAAAUCAUAUCAUCAACGUUUCAAAUCCUCGUGUUGAAAAAAGGAAGAUUACAGUGAAACUGACGACGACAAAAGCCUUCUUAUUUGGAAACGUUUUCGACAUUAGAGAAAGAUAUCUUAAUUAGACGAUUUGAGGCAUAAACAGAAUAUAAUUGGACUACAUAACGCGUCUAAAGACAACAUUUUUCCUGAUGGAAUUCAUCAUUCGUUUGAUUGAUCUCAAUUGAAAAAUAAUCGAACAAUUAGCGUUAUUAUUUUUUAAGUAGAAUUUUUUGAAUUUCAUCGAGGUGAUUGGAUUAUUCAUUCGUGUGAUAAUAUAAUAUUUGAUGUUAUCAAAACUCUCUCAGCUAAUUCGAGUACUGCAGGUUCCACUGUAUUUCAUUCGAUGCAAAUUUAACUUUCGCCAGCUACCUUUUUACAUUAAGCUUCGCUGCUCGCAGUAUUUCAAGAGAAGCUUUCAAAUUUUCCAGCAAGCCAUCGACGCGUUUACAUUGACCAACCUGCCAAAAUGAGCUGAUCAGAAUUUUGCAAAAUUAUCGAAAUAUCAUACGGUCAAAGAGAAAUUGUAAUUCUUAAAAAGAGAGCAGUUUUAACUUGCCUUAUUUAAUUAGUUUCUCUGUUAUCGUAUACUUUAGUUUGAGCGUAGAGUUCAGUUUCAAGCGCUUGACGCUUCAGCAAGCAGCUUAACUCGACAAGCAACGUAACUUCCUUUUUUGACACGUCAGAGAAAUUUUGUCGAACCACGUAAAUUCUUCGUAAAACUUCAAUUUGACUAGAUUUUAUCCUUAUGAAUAAUUAAACAAGCUAACUACCAUCCUUUUCCAAAUAGAAAAACUAUAUAGCGUUCCGAACGAGAAACCAAUCCUCCUUCCUCUUUUCGUUAACCCUAAGCCCUAACACUAUGGUUAAUUACUAGCUGUCGAGUACACGAAUCGCUGUAAUUUACAAUAUGUACAACAACUAAGCGAAUGCACUUUCCUUCGUAAACAAAAGGGGUCAGAUAGGACAAGAACGAAGAGAAACUUAAAAAUUGAAUGGGAAAAACUCGUCCCAAUGCAUCCUGCGAACAUUUCGAAUGAUCGUUAGUAAUAUUCGGAAUAAAUAACGGGGAAAAUAAAUAAUAAGCGAAACGAAUCGAUAUUAAUGAAAAAACGGGAAUGUUAACAUCCGUAGCUACUCGUCGAAUCUCUGACUAUACUCUUUUGUUUCUUCGACUGAUAAAAGGAAAUCUAGUUGAAUCGAAAAUUAGAAAGUUCGCGGCUUUCGAAUAGAAACCUGCAUAGUAAAAUUUCGAAUGAAAUGAUUGCAACCUUAAACCUAUCUGGAUCAGGACAAUUUCAUUAGUUUGCUCUAAAUUAUUACCUCGCCGGUAAUAGAAAAUUUGUCCAACUUUCUAAAUCCCAGAUUCCUUGACCCUUUCAAGUUUCAAAAAUAUUUCUAAUUUCUAGCCCGACGUUUCCCCAUCUUUUUCUUUUUCCUUUCUUUUCUUUUCUUUUUCUUUUUUUUUCUUUCUUUCUUUUUCCACUUCGGAUUUGUCAUGUUCGCUCCUCGAACUCGAACAAGCAUCUCAACUUUCCAAUUUUCAAAUCGCCCACCGAUCAAAUAAACCGUUUGAAAAAGAAACACGGGGAAUGAAUGGUGCGAAAAGGUGCUUUCUCCAGACUUAGACGUUUCCCAGAUAACGAAUUUUCCUGUAAUUUCUUCGGUUUUGCCAUUAAUUUUUUUUCGUAGUAAUUUGUUGAUUAUUCGGCGGUUUUUUUUUUGUUUCUCUUUCUCUUUGUUUGGGAAAAAUGGAAAAACUGCAUUGUCUAUUGGAAUGUCUCAAUUAAUCAAUUAAUCAAUCAAUCAACUAAUCGGCUGAUCGUUAAUAUCACUUUUAAUGCCCAGCGAAAGAUUGCGAGUUAGAAAAAUGACUUCCCUGUAAUUGUCUGCUUCGUUUCGUUUCCUUUUUUUUUUUUUUUUUGCCUCAAAUCAUCGAUUCUCAGUUUCUUUGCUUUACUCGUUCUAUGUAUUCUAUCUCUGUGGCUCGCUGUUUCAUUCUGCCUAUGUGCUGUAUGUGUGUGUAUGAUAUAUGUAUAUGAACAUGAAUCUCGGUCUAGGGAGCCAAUCGAUCGAUUAUUCUGUAAACAAAUAAUCAAAUUGCUACCACAACUGAUCCUCUGUCGUGAAACAAAGACCGUGUAAUAUUUCUGCAAUGGAAAUAUUAUCGAUCUUUUCGAACUAACAUUUUCAUCAAAAUCUAUCAUAUCGAAUCGUACAAUGUGAUAUUUCAAUUUAGAAGAACACAAGAAACUGAUAAUGUAGGAAAAAUAUUUACAGUUUACGCUUUCAACGAAUCAUCGUAUUAUACGUUGCAACAAAGUGAAUCGAAAGGUAUCGAAUCGUACGAUGUAAUAUUCAAUUAAAAAAAGAAAAGUAUAUCCGAAUAAAGAAGAACGCAAGAGACUGAUAAUGUAGGAAAAAUAUUUACAGUUUACGCUUUCAACGAAUCAUCGUAUUAUACGUUGCAACAAAGUGAAUCGAAAGGUAUCGAAUCGUACGAUGUAAUAUUCAAUUAAAAAAAGAAAAGUAUAUCCGAAUAAAGAAGAACGCAAGAGACUGAUAAUGUAGGAAAAAUAUUUACAGUUUACGCUUUCAACGAAUCAUCGUAUUAUACGUUGCAACAAAGUGAAUCGAAAGGUAUCGAAUCGUACGAUGUAAUAUUCAAUUAAAAAAAGAAAAGUAUAUCCGAAUAAAGAAGAACGCAAGAGACUGAUAAUGUAGGAAAAAUAUUUACAGUUUACGCUUUCAACGAAUCAUCGUAUUAUACGUUGCAACAAAGUGAAUCGAAAGGUAUCGAAUCGUACGAUGUAAUAUUCAAUUAAAAAAAGAAAAGUAUAUCCGAAUAAAGAAGAACGCAAGAGACUGAUAAUGUAGGAAAAAUAUUUACAGUUUACGCUUUCAACGAAUCAUCGUAUUAUACGUUGCAACAAAGUGAAUCGAAAGGUAUCGAAUCGUACGAUGUAAUAUUUCAAUUAAAGAAAAGAAAAGUAUAUCCGAAUAAAGAAGAACGCAAGAAACUAAUAAUGUAGGAAAAAUAUUUACAGUUUACUCUUUCAACGAAUCAUCGUAUUAUACGUUGCAACAAAGUGAAUCGAAAGGUAUCGAAUCGUACGAUGUAAUAUUCAAUUAAAAAAAGAAAAGUAUAUCCGAAUAAAGAAGAACGCAAGAGACUGAUAAUGUAGGAAAAAUAUUUACAGUUUACGCUUUCAACGAAUCAUCGUAUUAUACGUUGCAACAAAGUGAAUCGAAAGGUAUCGAAUCGUACGAUGUAAUAUUUAAUUUAAAAAAAGAAAGGUAUAUCCGAAUAAAGAAGAACGCAAGAAACUGAUAAUGUAGGAAAAAUAUUUACAGUUUACGCUUUCAACGAAUCAUCGUAUUAUACGUUGCAACAAAGUGAAUCGAAAGUUUCUGGCAGAUGUGUUUUAGAUCGAAAAACUCAAGACAGGCGUCACUCGAUGUUAUUAACAAACGAAGUAAAAAUAUCAAUUAAUUGAAUUGGACUAACAGUAAAGACUCCAUAAUUGCUCGCAAGUAGCUGCCGCUUAAUUGCUGCUUGCUUAUCCCCACCAAUGGCGGGAUUCCCCUUUGAACCAUCGACGCGAGUAACGUGACGCGUCAACUUCUCUUCGACGCUAAUUUCACGGGACGCGCGUUCUUUUGACGCAUUUCGAAUUUCACGAGGAAAAUUACACAAGCCGUGUACGUUCUUCUUGUACGGUUUCUACCGAUUUCUAUCCAUUCGACGAGACGAAUAUACAUGGAAAUUCAUUUUCCUCGAAGCUUCUCUACCUGGUGUACCUAUCUCUACGGAUACGCGUCGAUUUGACAUAAUCGUAAAGUAAGUUUGUAAAUUGGCUUAGAAAGAUAAUAAUAUAAUUGAAUAAUAUCAAUAAUAAUUUAACAAUAUAAUUAGAAAUAUGAAUACGAUAAACGAGCCAGCUGUUGACGAAAGUGAACGCCGGAAGUGAACACGAAGAAUACAUCGACCAUACUUGCGACAAAAUUUCUCAAAUUUCUCAAAAAAAAAUUUCUCAAAUCUCGAGUGGAUGAAAUGCUGUUUCACCUUGUGUAUUCACCUUGGAAAACCUUAGGCAGAACAGAGCAAUAAGCUCGGAAGAAGAAACGAAACUCGGUAUAUGAGUCGCGUAAUUGCAAAAAUCGUGCAACCAAUUGCAGUUGCAGCUGUUCAAAUUCAACUUGUCGCUUCAAAUUCUCACAAACUGCCCUUCUCUAUGCGUCCGAAUAUGUCUAUUGGCUUGGCAGCUAAUUGAUUGCGGAUUUUGUCAUUAAGUGGUAGCGACAGAUAGCGUCAGCAGUUCCACUUGAUCAUAGAAACAUGUUGCAACAUAGAAAAUGUUGCACCGAAGCAGAGACACGUGGUGUCUUAAAAAGUGAUUGGACAAUGUCAAUGGCUAAGUCAGUUGCUUUUAUUGCGAUUUUGUAAGCUCAGGCAGCAUACGAAGCAAAGAUACUGAAAGGUCUUUAUUUAUGGCGCGGAAAAUGGCCAGUCGCUUUCUUCUCGACCACAAUGCCAAGAGAUGAAUUGAUGCAAAUUCUUCGAUUUGAUAAAAGUUUGAUAAAAGAAGAGAACGAUUGGAAGGUUUACGUACAAAAUUCAGCACACGUGUAAAAGAUGCGCGGAAUAUAUAUGAUGACAUAUAAUGUUGAACAUUAUAAAUCCUAUAUAUCAUCGUUUCAUUUAUAAAUUAACAGCGUAUAAUUAUAUUGUCUUCUUUUUUCAAGAAAAUUUAUGAUUUUGUUCAUACGUCAAAUCGACGCGUAGAGAUAGGAAUAUAUAGGAAAUGUGAGUAAACCUAACGUUGAAGAUCUGUUUCGUGUUCGUUUCAGCGAGACCACACUAGCGCCAAGACGAAGCUUCUUCGUUUUAAAUUUCUCGCCAAUCGCAUUGUGUUGCGUUGGAGUUUCUCUUUUACGUGAAAAAGCCAAUUACCGACUUCCAUCUCGAGAGGUUCUGUCUCGAGAUAAAGAAAAUUACUUUUCUAUUAUAUCGGCUUCUCUUAUACUUGAAAAGGCAAUCAUUGAUUAUCUCAAAAUGAAAAAAAAGAUGAAGAAGAGAUAACUGACUGUCUCAAAAUAUAAAAUAAAAAUUUUCUCGAGUCCUAUCCGACCAAUCAGGUACCCGGGUACUCGCAAUCAGAAAAAUACCUGAUGCAACCUGCUUGAACACUCUACUCGUGUCACCCGAUGUUUACAAUAUUUCGAAGAAUUUAUAUUUCUGACUCAAUCGAAUAUCUAAAUGAAAUAUCUUCAUUUUUGUACCGAAAUACCAACAAGUUAACGUUCUCAGCAGGUAGACUGGCUGGCUUCAACAUUUCCACAUAUUUUCAGCUGUUGAAAACACAUUGGCAAAGGUUGCUAAGAUGUACUUGUGUAUACAAGUUGCAAGCUCUCAACGUGUAGUUCCAACAGCUGACAAUAUCGUCAACGUAUAGCCUAACAACAUACUACUCGAGAAUGUUGAUUCGUUGGCAUUUCCGUACAGAACUAAUGUCUACUUUAAAAUGAUCGUUUGACUGUCUAUCAAAAACACAUAGAUAGAAACAUUGUGAACGCCUGUGACACGAGUAGGGUACUCGAGUGAAACAUAGCAAGCAUCCGAGUAGCGAUAGCUCUACUCUCGGCUAUCUCAUCUCUGUGGACAAGAACAGUGAUAAAGCACGUGGCUAAAUUUGAAUCAUUGCAACCAGCCGCGCUGAGAACAGCUGAGAAUGCAGCGCGGUGUAUCAGCAGCGAAAGUCUAAGGAAACAGCCAAUUAGGCUACCAACGAUCCAAGAGGAAAUUAAGAGGAAUGGAACGAAGCGUGAGAAAAGAGUCGCACAGCGUCCUAAUCAACUAGCCCUGCAGGCCUACAAAGCCAAGACUAAACGAAGAUGAAAAAACAAGCAUCCUACUGACCUGCUAAUCUCAUGAGAUGAUACAAGAUGACAUGUUCUUUUUCCUACCGGGAAUAGUCAUCCAGGUGAUAAUUUAUAAAGAAUAUGGAAGAAUUUGCCGAAUGUCCAAUAGGACAAACUGUAGAGAGAAAUAACUAAGUUUAGAAAGAGAAGCAUGUCAUGUACCUGGUGGUGAUGUUUCUCACCCAGGCAUCUCAUAAGUAGACUGCUGGUUCUUACGCAAUUACAGUUCAACUGGAAAGCGUAUGAUAUGGAAAAACAUGCGAGAUACCCAAAGUAUAGUGUCAUAAUAUUUAGCGAUUGAAAUAAGUGUUUCAUUAGGUUCCGUUUCUUUAAUUGUAGGAACAAACAAAUAUGAAUUUGCAUAAAUCCGCAGUCUGCUCACAAGUAACAAUUCUACUUGAAAGUUAUUGAAAUCCUACACAUUUUUCUGCUUGUCAUUCGCUGAAAUGAACACCAUACAGUUACGAAUAGGUCGAGUUGCUCUUUACUUCUAUUCUUUUCUUUUUGCCAAUUCUCAGCUUUUAUGGAGACUUUACUGUAUCACCUAAUCGACGAGUGCUCGUGGAAAACAUUGCAAGUGCCAAGCAACAGAUACUCGGGAGGAGAAGAGAACUUAUAGUAUUAAUAUAACGGAAAUUCAUGAAGAAGAGAAGUGUAUCUUCUAGGAAACUCAAUGUUCCAUUCAACUGAAUGAAGACAGAUGGCAUAACAAAAGCUAGGAAACAAUUAUCUGCUCUUUAUUAGCAUUCAUAUGUUUUUGCAUAGAGAUGAGGUUGUCACGUCACCUUUGAGCAUUAUUAAUAACAAUUUAGAAAGACAUUGCACUUGAAUUCUACGCUACAGCAUUCUCAUUGGUAGGUAGAACAUUUUUCAGUAAAAAGUUCCUAGUGUUUUCCAUUCUGACACUCACAGUGUUUUCUACAAACGGUAUUCAAUUAAUGGAAUGUAUCUAAAAUUCACAUCUAAGCGAUAUUUAGUCAUUUAGUUAUUUUCUGGAAAUUGAAACUGAAACAGUUUCUCCUUUGAGGCUAUAAGAAUGAUUGCCAUAAGAAAAUAAAUGAGAAUUCAUAGCGAGCUAUGAUCUAACAGAAAAAAUAAGUCAAUAAGCGAGAUUAGAUCGUAUGACGAUCAAAAGAUAUAUAAUCGUUAAGAAGAUGUGAGAAACGAAUGAAUAAAAUAUUGAAGAAGAAUCGAAGUAGUAUAGUGUUAGUGGAGGAACCGUAGACCGAGGCUUGCAACAGGCUGUCUGUACAACAAUCUUAAUAACAUGAUAUGCAACAUUUAUAUUCUAAUCUUAGAGUCAGUAAAAACUAUGCGCUGGGCACGAAGCUCUCUGUUCCACGCGUUAAAAAACGAAUAGAAAAACCUUCGGAAAAAGUGCGUAACAAUAAGGAAAUGAAAACCGUCCACGUGCGAGACGAAAAUAUCGGAAUUAGUUUGUUUUCCUAUCUCUUUCGUGGUUAAUGAGUCUGGCGUUUUUAAAAAAUUUGAUUCGUCGCAGUCGUUGCGACCCCGGCACUAUUGUAAAACGGUAUGUAAAUAUACUUAUUAUAAUAAUAUAUAGCUGCAUCUGUGAUUUGAUUGUAAAUCGUGAGGUAAGGAGCCUGUGUGAAUGGCGCGAUCAACUCGAGAAACGUUCCCACUUUCCUCGAACUCGGAGUCUACCGUAAAACUUCCAACAAUCUUAUAAUUACACACUCAAUCAUAUAAUUACAAUAUGUAAGAAGCUAAGAAGAUUUAAAAGAAAAAAGAAAAAGAAAUCGAUAUUUGAAAUUUUGAUAUUUAUAUUCAAUAAUUAAAUAUUUCAAUGUUUAAAUCAAUGAAAUAAGAAAUAAAAGGAAAGAAUAAAAUUGAAAUGAUGAUCUGGUUAAUAGAAAAGAAAGAAGAUCGAGAAUUUUGAAAAUUACUACUUAGGUAAUAAUAAUUUGAAUAACUAUGAAAUUGAUGGAAAUUUUAGACUCUAACGUAAAGUAUAUAGUGAAACAUUUGUCGAGAACAUCGCGCUCACGGAACUAUUGUCAUCUGUAAAAUAUAAUAUAAAAGAUCCUGAGUUGUACUGUGUGGUACUAUGGCUAUGGAGUUCGGCGGUGACUGAGAUGGCUUUAUCUUUCCUCUUUUCUCUUCAAAUAAUACAUACAGAAUAUUGUACAAGUUCUAGGAAAACUAAAUAUCCUGCAAUGCCGAAAUAAAAUAUAAAAUACUUCACCUUCUAUGUAUCAUAAUGUCUACAUACUUUAAGAUACUGACAAACAAAUUUAAAAAUUAGUGUCACUUAAUAAAGUAGGUAGGCUGAUUAAUUAUACAUGUCACUUAUGUUAACCAGUAACUUAACGUGUUAAUAAUCAGUUUGCAUAGAAGUAUUUUCAAAAAUCUAGAUAUCUACUAGAUAUCUACUAAACGCAUUUACUAAGAUAAUAAAAUAUUUAUAAAUUGUUAUCGCUAUAAAGUUUUAUCAUAUAAUAAAGCAUUAAUAAAAAAGAAAAAGAUUCAACUUGGUCUAAAAGAUUGAUUAAAGAUUGUAAAAUAUAUGAUUAACGUUAUUAAAUAAUAAAUUGCUGGUCGAUAAAGCAAUACAUUUUAUAAAAUAAUACUCUAUAAAUCACUUGGGACAAACUAUUCCGUUAUUUCUAAAUUAGUAAUAUAUGUUUUCUAAGCAUAUAGUUAAUUUGUAAUAUCAAUACGUUAAAGUUUCAAAUAUAUCAUUGUUUAACAAAGACAAAAUGAGAAUAAUAAAAAUAAUAAUACUGUUUACAAGAAAUUCACUUAAUGGAGAAACCAAUAUUUCAAAAAUCAAUACCAUUAAAAAUAAUUGGUUAAUGUAGUAAACAUGACAGCGGUGAAAGUAAAAUACAGAAAUGCAAUGUUUUAUGGUGAUGUUAAAAAGUAAUUUCAAAGAAUUAAAAGAAAUUCCAAAGAAGUUGGAUUGUACGUAAUUUGCUAAAACUAUGGAGAAAAGUGAUAAAUUCAGCUCUGUAAUAUCACAUUAGAGCGUAUAAAAAAAUUAGCAAGAAAAGCCAUCUCGGGCACAGGCCUCUUAUAAUAUAUUAAAUUCAAUCUGCUGCAUCACGGUGGUUUCCCAUCGAUAACUGUCAAUAAUAAAUCCUCUGUAAAUCUGCUUGAGCUGUAAAAUCGGUUGGCUGUCUAUUGCACCGUUAAACUGCUAUGCGGUGAAAAAUAUAUUAUAAUAUGUUCGUACGUCAUCCUGGGAGUUUCUGUGCGUGUCACCCAGUCGUGUGACGCAAUCGAUAAAGUAAAUAUAAUCCUCUGUAAGAAUAUAAUAUCGUUGUAAAUAUCUGUAGUCUGUAUAACACUGUAUAGCAUCAAAUAAAACAACAAGUUAUCCUGGCUCGCGGAAUAAUCAGUACGAGGUGGGAUGGCUGUUCCACUUGCGGCGGUUAUUUGUGAUUUCUCUCUUG